CCUACGGGGCGCUGCAGUCGAGAAUCAUUCACAAUGGGGGAAACCCUGAUGGUGCGACGCCGCGUGGGGGAAUGAAGGUCUCCGGAUUUUAAACCCCUGUCAUGUGGGAGCAAAUUAAAAAGAUAGUACCACAAGAGGAAGAGACGGCUAACUCUGUGCCAGCAGCCGCGGUAAUACAGAGGUCUCAAGCGUUGUUCGGAAUCACUGGGCGUAAAGCGUGCGUAGGCUGUUUCGGAAGUCGGGUGUGAAAGGCGAGGGCUCAAUCCGCGGACGGCACAUGAUAAUGCGAGACUAGAGUGAUGGAGGGGCAAGCGGAAGUCUCGGUGUAGCGGUGAAAUGCGUAGAUAUCGGGAGGAACACUCGUGGCGAAGGCGGGUUCCUGGACAGUAACUGACGCUGAGGCACGAAGGCCAGGGGAGCGAAAGGGAUUAGAUACCCCGGUAGUC
rnacentral:rRNA from 1 species